UACGUAGGUGGCGAGCGUUGUCCGGAUUUACUGGGCGUAAAGAGCGUGUAGGCGGCUCGAUAAGUCCGCUCUGAAAGCCCGGGGCUCAACCCCGGGAGGCGGGCGGAUACUGUCGAGCUAGAGUCCGGAAGAGGCGAGUGGAAUUCCUGGUGUAGCGGUGAAAUGCGCAGAUAUCAGGAGGAACACCAAUGGCGAAGGCAGCUCGCUGGGACGGUACUGACGCUGAGGAGCGAAAGCAUGGGGAGCGAACAGG
rnacentral:rRNA from 1 species